rnacentral:lncRNA from 1 species
GACCAUUUAGGUCAUCUUGUCCAAUCUGCUCAUUUUAUAGAGGAGGAAAUUGAAAGCCAGCGGAGAAAUCACUUGCCUUGGGUAACUUAGAGGCCCAGCCAGGACUAGAACCCAAGCCUCUUUCAUUCUAGUCUAGGGUCGCCUUUUUAAGCCUCUAAAGGGGGAGGUUAGGGCAAUAAGAGGUGGGGGCUGACUUGGAAAAAUAGGAUUAGGGCAAAGGGCAGAGAGACAUUAGUCCAGCAUAUCCCAGUGGCAAUCUUCUGGACAAACUCCUCUUGACCCUGACCUUGGGCAAUGACUCCUGGGACCCUGGGCCUGAGGCCAGCGGGAAGAUGGCUUAGAGAACUCAGGUGUCCUUGUCUGUCUGCUUCGCCACGGUGCCUCCCGACAUCCUACCGAAUGCUUAGUUCCCAUGUUCUGACAGGGGGAGGUGGGGAGGGGUCCUGUCUUUGGGGGCUAUUCUCUGCCUCCUCCAGCUGCCUUCUGCUACCUACCCCCCAUCCCUCAAGCUAGGCUGGAAAGUGGUGAGCACCAUCGAGGGAGAGGCCAGGUAUGCUCUGGGGUCAUACCAAUUUACCGGUUCAGGGGUCAGAACCAGAAGGGCUUUCCCAUGAUCGUCGCCAGAACUUCCCUGCUGUGCAAGUUACCAAUAAUGGAAAAAGAAGGCACCUGGGGCUGAUUCCAAAAUUCCAACCUGUGUCUUCUCGGUACCCUGACCCAAGGAAAUACAGUUUCUUCCCAAGAAGGCAGGAGCAGAAAACAUCCCAAGACCAGUGGGGCUUUUCUCCAGAUGGGGAUGUGUGCCUCUCCCCGAACAUCGAGCUGGGGUCCCUGACCCCAGCAGGGCAGGGCUCCAGGAGAAAUCUGGCUGUCCACUACUUUCCUGACUUCACACAGCAGGUCCAACAAAAGCAGGAGAAUCUGAAGCCCAAGGUCUUAUCAUUCUGGGGACAGGUCAACAAUUUCCAGGGUGGAAACCCAGCCCAUGAUUUCCCAAGGACAAAGACCUGGGCCACUAGUGAGAGAGAGGGUCCCCAGUGGAGCGUAGGCUGGGGAGCAAAGGACUCCCCGAGCCCAGUCCUGGGAGAGUUACUCCCCAACAGGCCUAACGUCUUGCGGGAACCAACAGAGAAGGCCAGCAGAAACCUUCUACAACAGUCGACCUCCGCGUUUCCCUCCUUAAGACCUAGCUCCUCAGUCUGCCGCUAUUACCCACCUUGCUGUUCUAUUUGCUCUGCUUCUCCAGAAGUCUGGCCAAAAAACAGGCAAACGGUGAAACUUAAACCAGCUCUUAUCAGCAGCUGCUCGGAUGACACAUCGGGGCCCCAGAAACGGUUCCACCCAUUUCGGGUGCGCUUUGCAGACGAAAGCCCCAAGGACAUGGCAUUGCGAUACUGGGAGAGGAACUAUGACGUUCAGAGGAGCCUCCUCAAGAGCCCAGUACCCUAUAAGUCUCCAGAAGUUAUUCCAGGGAAAUUGGGGAUUUGGAUGGAGAAAAUCCCAAGGAAUGGACUUCAGCAGACGAACCUGUGGCGAGAUGAAUUCAUUCGUCCUGGGAGAAUGGAUAACAUACCCAUGUCAUUGCAAGAACUGCCUACUGAUAACCUAAAGAAGAGUCCCACCUACAGCUCUCUGCACACCAGCCCAUUGGCCAUUCUUGACUUCUCUGGUACCAGGACAUUCCAGGACCAGGGCACAGAUCCCCUUAAGAAGAACCCCAUCUACAACUCUCUGCACACCAGCACCUCAAAUAAUAUUGAUUUUUCUGGCACCAGGUCAUUCCAAGACCUUCCCGCCGAUUCCCCUAAGAAGAGUCCUACGUUCGGCAAUCUAUACAACAGUACACUGGCUAACAUUGACUUCUCUAAUUCUAGGCCGUUCCAGGAUCUCUGUAUCGAUCCUGCUAAACAUACCUCUUUGUACACCACCCCAGUAAUCAACACUGAUAGGCCACGAAGCCGGACCCUCAACACUGGAGUCUCCUCAUUGAAUGAGAACUCUCCUUCCUUGUGGGCUCCUAGAAUGGAUAAUACUCUUCUUCAUAUGCAAAAACAGUCUUCUCAUGGGAGUGUUGAGCAGUGUUCUGAUAAACAUUUAACAACCAGCUUUCUGAGAAAAAAUAAGCUAGCAAAAAGAGAAGAGGAACAAGAUACUUUUGUACCUCACUUGAUGUCAUCUAAUCGGAAGGGAGGACAGACAGGACCUUACCAGUUUUUUCCUCCACUCACCCCACUUCGGACUCAAAGCACCAACCAAGGCAGCUCUGAGUCUCCCCGAUAGCCAGCUAGCCAGAAUGGCUCCUGAAGAACGAGACAAUAUGAAGAACAACGUGGCAAAUCCAGGGACACAGGGGUGGAGAGAAGAAAGGGACAAUUUCAGCAACUCCCUCUGCCCCCUUUCCCCUUACACUCUCUCUCUCCCCCCAAAUAAAAUUAACUAAAAACAGACACACAACCAACCAAUAGCUCAUAGGCUAUGAAGCCUUUCCAGAAACCAAGAGCCAAAUGUCUUCACUGAAGACAUAUUUCAACUCCAUGGAAGGCCUUCUCCCCUCUGACUUUGCUCAGGGUCAUAUGGUUUAAGAGUCCACUGAGGAAGAACUCUCCAACUCUCCAGCCUGUCGCCCUCCCUGAGCUAACAAGCCAGCCCUAACAUCAAUUAUAGCUCACAUACCUGUAAUAAUUUAGGGUUUACAAAGCACUUUCCCC